UGCAAGUCGAGCGGUAGCACAGGGGAGCUUGCUCCCUGGGUGACGAGCGGCGGACGGGUGAGUAGUGUCUGGGAAACUGCCUGAUGGAGGGGGAUAACUACUGGAAACGGUAUCUAAUACCGCAUAACGUCGCAAGACCAAAGAGGGGGACCUUCGGGCCUCUUGCCCUCAUAUGUGCCCAUAUGGGAUUAUCUAAUAGGUGGGGUAAUGGCUCCCCUAGGCGACUAUCCCUAUCUGGUCUGAGAGGAUGACCACCCACUCUGGAACUGACACACGGUCCACACUCCUACGGGAGGCAGCAGUGGGGAAUAUUGCACAGUGGGCGCAACCCUGAUGCACCCAUGCCGCGUGUGUGAAAAAGGCCUUCGGGUUGUAAAGCUCUUUCAGCGAGGAAGAAGGUGGUGAGCUUAAUACUUUCAUCUUUUGACUUUACUCGCAAAAAAAGCCCCGGCUAUCUCCGUGCCAGCACCCGCGGUAAUACAGAGGGUGCAAGCGUUACUCGGAAUUACUGGGCGUAAAGCGCACGCAGGCGGUUUGUUAACUCAUAUGUGAAAUCCCCGGUCUCACCCUGGGAACUGCAUUUGACACUGGCAAGCUAGAGUCUCGUAGAGGGGGGUAGAAUUCCAUGUGUAGCGGUGAUAUGCGUAGAGAUCUGGAGGAAUACCGGUGGCGAGCGCGGCCCCCUGGACGAAGACUGACGCUCAUGUGCGAAAGCGUGGAGAGCAAACGAGAUUAUAUACUCUGAUACUCCACGCUGUAAACGAUG
rnacentral:rRNA from 1 species